rnacentral:rRNA from 1 species
AAGGCUCGUGGGCUGUAAACUCCUUUUCCUAGAGAAGAAGUCUGACGGUAUCUAGGGAAUAAGCAUCAGCUAACUGCGUGCCAGCAGCUGCGGUAAUACGUGGGAUGCAAGCGUUAUCCGGAUUUAUUGGGCGUAAAGCGUCUGUAGGUGGCUUCGCAAGUUUGUUGUUAAAUCAUUCAGCUUAACUGAAUUCCAGCAGCAAAAACUAUGAAGCUUGAGUGCGGUAGAGGAAAAGGGAAUUCCCUGUGGAGCGGUGAAAUGCGUAGAGAUAGGGAAGAACACCAAUGGCGAAAGCACUUUUCUGGGCCUGCACUGACAUUGAGAGACGAAAGCUAGGGGAGCGAGUAGGAUUAGAUACCCUAUUAGUCCUAGCCGUAAACGAUGGAAACUACAUUUUGGAGCUCUAGGAGCUCAGCUUCGUAUUCUUCAGAAUGGUAGCUAACGCGUUAAGUUUCCGCGCCUUGGGAAAGUAAUGGCUCGCAAAGAGU